GUGGGGAAUAUUGGACAAUGGGCGAAAGCCUGAUCCAGCCAUGCCGCGUGUGUGAAGAAGGUCUUCGGAUUGUAAAGCACUUUAAGUUGGGAGGAAGGGCAGUAAGUUAAUACCUUGCUGUUUUGACGUUACCGACAGAAUAAGCACCGGCUAACUUCGUGCCAGCAGCCGCGGUAAUACGAAGGGUGCAAGCGUUAAUCGGAAUUACUGGGCGUAAAGCGCGCGUAGGUGGUUUUGUAAGUUGGAGGUGAAAUCCCCGGGCUCAACCUGGGAACUGACUCCAAAACUGCAUGACUAGAGUACGGUAGAGGGUAGUGGAAUUUCCUGUGUAGCGGUGAAAUGCGUAGAUAUAGGAAGGAACACCAGUGGCGAAGGCGACUACCUGGACUGAUACUGACACUGAGGUGCGAAAGCGUGGGGAGCAAACAGGAUUAGAUACCCGUGUAGUCC
rnacentral:rRNA from 1 species